UUGUUACGAUGUCCCUGGAAGGGGACAGCCCUCUCGCCUGCGCGCCGGAAGAAACUGAAGGGCAACCAAUCACCGAGCGCCAGCACAACCCAACGGAGAGCCCCGAGCGGCUCUCCAGAACGAACUGAAGGUCGACCAAUUACCGAGCAACAGCACGACAUGGCACGAGAGAAAGACCCACCCGAGCCUAAACCCGGAACUGCUACAGCUGAAAAACCCUACCCCACCAUACCCGGGCGCGACUUCCCUGACUCCCUCCUUGAGUCACGGAACCUCGCCCGGAACCUUAGUUCCCAAUAAAGCCUUAAACUGCAAAAAUUCUUUUUGACUCUAACUCCUAUCUUUACCCCGCACAACGCCUGACACUGACAUUUGGUGCCGAAACCCGGGAGGGAGGGGGUAGCUCGCCUCUCUCGGCUGAACUCCCCCCUGCUCACCAAGCCAGAUGCCAACCACCCUACUCUCAAGAGCCUACAGGAGCCGGGACGAGAGACUCGCAACGCCUCCAUGUGGCGAGGCUUCACCCGGAUUGGACUCUGCCUUCCAACUGCUGGAGAUGGAGGAUGACGACUGACGAGCCCCAGACUCAGUAACUCCGGUGACCCACGCUGAGCCCAGGGUAAAACUCCAGGGAGCGGGGUGGAAAGACAGAAGUCUUCCCUACCUCAUCUGAAGGGGCCUCCACAGUGGCUGAGAUCCUACUCAAGGACAUCAUUCCCCGCUUUGGUCUACCAAGAAGGAUACAGUCUGACAACGGGCCUGCUUUCAUCUCAGCAGUCACCCAACAGGUCUCCAAAGCUUUGGGCAUUACUUGGAAACUCCAUAUACCAUACCACCCCCAGUCCUCGGGUAAGGUUGAAAGGGCCAAUGGCCUCAUGAAAGACCAUCUCACUAAACUCUCCAUAGAGACUCGGCUUUCUUGGCCUCAACUCCUACCUAUAGCACUCACCCAACUCCGAGCCGCUCCCCGAGGACCCACAGGCCUCAGCCCAUUUGAACUCCUAUACGGGCGACCCUUCCUGUUACCCCAACCCUACCAAAAGAUCCUUCUCAUUUGGCUGCCUAUCUCCCUUACCUCAGCCUGCUCUGACACCUGAUUCGACAGUACGCUGACCUCACUCUACCAGCUCCCAUCGAUCUCUCCUCUCCCUCACUAUCUGUAAACCCAGGAGACUCAAUGCUCCUUCGAGUAAGACAAAAACCAACCCUUGCCCCCCAGUGGGAGGGUCUCUACACGGUCAUACUCACAACCCCCACGGCUGCUAAAUUAUUGGGCCACACCCCGUGGGUUCACACCUCUGACCUCAAACGGGCCCCCCCUUUACCCCCUAUACCAGAAGAGUCGUGAACCUCCCAACCAACCGGCCCCCUCACCCUCAAACUAACCCGACAGGCCCCUUCAUGACGGACCCUUCCCCUCGGUUUUCCACCUUCACACUCACGAUAUUACACAAGCUACAACUCUCCCACUCAUCCGACCCCAUCACCCUCCCCUUAUUUCUCUCCUGGGUCUCUGACUGUUGGCUUCAGGGAACUCUCUCCGAUUUCUCCCCCGUCGAAAUCUCCUUCUUUACCUUUUUACUAACCAUACUUAUAUAUCAUGAUGAUACUUCCCCGUUACUCCUUGUUAACAUCAUCCCCCUUAUGCGCUCACAACCCUCCUAUAGGUGGGUUUUUACCUAUCUGAAACGUUUAAUGGACACACCUCUAUCAUAUCCUCUACCCCUUGCCCCAUUGUUGGGUGCCAAAAUCAAGUCACCUUUAAAUUUCCCUCCUUCAACACACUCCAAGCCUCUACGUGGAUUACUCCCGCCAUUUGCUUUUUGUAUGACCAGACCGACAAAAUAUGCUCCCAGACCCCCCCCCCCCCCGCAACCAAUAUGGAGGAUGCCCCUAUCACUAUUGUAACAUACACUGGCUCAACCUAUACUGCUUCACAGGACCAAGGACGGGCCGCUUCUGCUUAAAAAAUGGCAACUUUACCCUUACUGUCCCUGAUCCAUGGGAUCCCCACUGGCAAACCAGAAUAAAGGGCAAACUGUAUCAGAACGGCCACUUCUCUAACCCCAUCUCCUCUUUAACCAUCUAUGGAACUUAUGAGCCCUCUAUGUCUCCUUCCCUCUCCAACCUUAAAGAUCUUACCCAAGUAAUCAUGGACCAAGAAGACCAGCUCAACACACAACUACAGACACCCCCUGCACAACAUCCCUUCUCAUGGCUUACAUGGAUCAGACAAGGAGCGAUCCUGCUUAACCACUCAACCUGUCACACUGCUUUCUUUGUGCAUCCCUUCAGCAGGAUCCAGUAAUAGCCGUCCCAUUACCCACCCCCUUUCCCAACACCACUAACUCCAUCAACCACCCCAGAAGUCAAAUCUCCCUACAGAUUCCCAUCCUCACUGAGACCCCUCAAAGCAACGUCUCACCCAAUAUGCUACUCCUCUCAUGCCUCCCCACCUUGCCCCUCCCCCCUGCCUAUGCCUAGCCACAACCCUCCCCCAGGGGAAUUCUAUUGGUGUAAUGACACAGCUUAUAAACAAAUGCCCAAAAAUGCUUUUAUCUGUCUCCCAGUCACCAUUAUCCCCCAAUUCACCCUACACGGACAGGAAGAACUCCAUCAACUCCUCGAAUUCCAUCUCCAAAAAUGAGCCGUUUUCCUCCCACUAAUGGUCAGACUAUCCCUAGCCAUGUCCCUAUUGGCCGCCGGGGUGGGGACAGGCUCCCUCGCACACUCCAUUACCUCCUCCAGGGACCUGUCAAACAGGCUCCAAAUCACAAUAGAAGCCUCAGCAACCUCCCUAUCCACCUUACAAAGGCAGAUCAACUCCAUAGCACAGGUCACUCUAUAAAACCAACAAGCCCUAGAUCUUCUAAUAGCAGAAAAAGGGGGAACAUGACUGUUCCUGAGGGAAGAAUGUUGCUACUGAAAGGGCGGACCUACGCCGACUGACUCCAUCUUGUUCUGUGUCCUCCACCUUGAGUGACUAUGUCCCCGACAUGCCCCCUUUCCGGGAAAAUCGCAGAAACCUCAGACCACGCCUCCUCCCCUUGAGUAACUUCCCCAUCAAAACA